GCCAGGAAACCACAGCUGAAGGAGGACUUACUAAGCAGCGCAGACGAGCAACAGAGCCUCGACUCUGAACCAAGGAGGCAGGCUCAGAACGGAAAGAGGGAUAUUGAGCUGGUGAGGAGACAGGAGCAGAGAAAAACAGAACAAUACAAUGGACACAUAGCUAUCUCCUGGACAAACAGCUAUCUGCAUGGCUUUGAGAGUGCAUCCUGAGCGGAGGAGGAGGAGAGAAGAGAAGAGACAGGAAAUAAUAAACUCUCCCAGCUCCUGGCUCACGCCCCCUUCUCACCCUGAGGUGAAAGGUCACGGAAGAGCAGAGAGAGGGUGAACCAGCGGGUGUCUGAUGGCCCUGGACCAGCCCCCAGAGGUCAUCUCCAGCUCUCUCUGUUUCACACACA